GACGAACGCUGGCGGCGUGCUUAACACAUGCAAGUCGAACGGAAAGGCCCUGCUUUUGUGGGGUGCUCGAGUGGCGAACGGGCGAGUAACACGUGAGUAACCUGCCCUUGACUUUGGGAUAACUUCAGGAAACUGGGGCUAAUACCGGAUAGGAGCUCCUGCUGCAUGGUGGGGGUUGGAAAGUUUCGGCGGUUGGGGAUGGACUCGCGGCUUAUCAGCUUGUUGGUGGGGUAGUGGCUUACCAAGGCUUUGACGGGUAGCCGGCCUGAGAGGGUGACCGGCCACAUUGGGACUGAGAUGCGGCCCAGACGCCUACGGGAGGCAGCAGUGGGGAAUAUUGCACAAUGGGCGGAAGCCUGAUGCAGCAACGCCGCGUGUGGUAUGACGGCCUUCGGGUUGUAAACCGCUUGCGCCUGUGACGAAGCGUGAGUGACGGUAAUGGGUAAAGAAGCACCGGCUAACUACGUG
rnacentral:rRNA from 1 species